GAUGAACGCUGGCGGCGUGCCUAAUACAUGCAAGUCGAGCGAACAGACGAGGAUCUUGCUCCUCUGACGUUAGCGGCGGACGGGUGAGUAACACGUGGAUAACCUACCUAUCAGACUGGGAUAACUUCGAGACACCGGAGCUAAUACCAGAUAAUAUAUUGAACCGCAUGGUUCAAUAGUGAAAGACGGUUUUGCUGUCACUUAUAGAUGGUUCCGCGCCGCAUUAGCUAGUUGGUAAGGUAACGGCUUACCAAGGCGACGAUGCGUAGCCGACCUGAGAGGGUGAUCGGCGACCGUGGAAGUGAGACACGGUCCAGACUCCUACGGGAGGCAGCAGUAGGGAAUCUUCCGCAAUGGGCGAAAGCCUGACGGAGCAACGGCGCGUGAGUGAUGAAGGUCUUGGGAUCGUAAAACUCUGUUAUUAGGGAAGAACAAAUGUGUAAGUAACUAUGCACGUAUUGACGGUACCUAAUCAGAAAGCCACGGCUAACUACGUG
rnacentral:rRNA from 1 species